AAUCAACGCUGGCGGCGUGCCUCAGACAUGCAAGUCGAACGAUUAAAGCUCUCUUCGGAGAGUGUAUAGAGUGGCGCACGGGUGAGUAACACGUAAGUAAUCUACCUUUGAGUGGGGAAUAACCCGGGGAAACCCGAGCUAAUACCGCAUAAUGCAGCGGCACCGCAAGGUGACAGUUGUUAAAGGAGCAAUCCGCUUAAAGAGGAGCUUGCGGCAGAUUAGCUAGNGGUAAGGUAAUGGCUUACCAAGGCUUCGAUCUGUAUCCGGCCUGAGAGGGCGGUCGGACACACUGACACUGAAUAAC
rnacentral:rRNA from 1 species